AGAGGGGAAGCCAGCUGGGCUUCUGGGUUGGGUGGGGACUUGGAGAACUUUUCUGUCUAGCUAAAGGAUUAUAAAUGCAGCAAUCAGCACUGUGUAAAAAUGCACCAAACAGCACUCUGUAAAAUGGACCAAUUGGCUCUCUGUAAAAUGAACCAAUCAGCAGGAUGUGGGCUGGGCCAAAUAAGGAAUAAAAGCUGGCCACCCCAGCCAACAGCGGCAACCCACUUGGGUCCCCUUCCCCACUGUGGAAGCUUUGUUCUUUCACUCUUCACGAUAAAUCUUGCUGCUGCUCACUCUUUGGGUCUGCAUUACCUUUAUGAGCUGUAACACUCACUGUGAGGGUCUGUGGCUUCAUUCCUGAAGUCCGCCAGACCAUGAACCCACUGGGAGGAAUAAACAACUCUGGACACACCACCUUUAAGAGCUGUAACACUCACUGCAAGGGUCUGUGGCUUCACUCCUGAAGUCAGCGAGACCAUGAACCCACCAGAAGGAAGGAACUCUGGACACAUCUGAACAUCUGAAGGAACAAACUUCAGACACACCAUCUUUAAGAACUGUAGCACUCACCGUGAAGGCCUGCAGCUUCAUUCUUGAAGUCAGUGAGACCAAGAACCUGCCAGAGGAAUACAUUCCAGACACAUUUUGGUGACCCAGAUGGGACACAUUUUGAUGACCCAGAUGGGACACAUUUUGGUGACCCAGAUGGGACUAUUGCCUAUCGCCAAGCAGUGAGUACCAUUGGGCCCCUUUCAUUACUAUUCUGUCCUAUUUUUCCUUAGAAUUUGGGGGCUAAAUACUGGGCACCUGUCGGCCAGUUAAAAGUGACUAGUGCAGCCAUGGGACUAAAGACACGGGUGUCAGGCUUUCUCGGAAAGGGCUCUCUAACAACCCCCAAUUCUUCAGAGUUGGGAGCGUUGGUUUUCCUGGAACCAGCUUCCGCUUUUCCUGUACUUCUGGGCUGAGCCGAGGGUUGACAGAGAGGAAAGCCAUUCAGCUCCGGGGUCCUGACAACAAGUUGGUUGACCUGAGGCCAUGAGCAGUACUCUCAAAGUCACGUUGCCCAAGCAAGACUCGCCCAUCUAUCCUAUCUAUCCUGACCCAUGCCCCCUGGGUCCUAAUGCCUGUCAGACAAACUUCCUCUCGCCUCUCUUCUCUGAGGCUAGUUCUGCUUCUAAAAACCACUCCCUGUCUCUGGUGCUUUUCUAGUUUUUCCUAUAAGAAUGAUUUCUAGUAUAAACUCCAGGACUCUAUUCCCUUCUUUAGGCACCCAGGCUCACCAAUCAGAAAGACAUAAUUUUUGCCCAAAGCCCAAUCAGGUGGGGAGACCAACUAUCCUUUUAGGAUCCCUCCUCAGACUAGCAGACCUAACAAAAGCUAUUCCUGAAGCUAGGAUAUGGGGAGCUUCAGAAAUGAUAUCCUUCCUAUUCAAGUGAGGACAAAAGGCAUCACUCCUCCAACCCUAGAGAUCCCUUCCUUCCCUCAGGGUAUGGCAAUCCACUUCAUUUUCGGGGCAUAACAUCUUUAUAGGAUGGAGUAAAGUCCCAAUACUAACAGGAGAAUGCUUAGAACUCUAACAGGAUUUUUAUAAUGUGUCGGUAAGGGCCACUAAAUCCAAUUUUUCUUGGUCCUCUUUGUGGUCUAGGAGGACAGGCAAGGGUGCAGGUUUUCGAGAAUGCAUCAGUAAGCGGC
rnacentral:lncRNA from 1 species